AUUGAACGCUGGCGGCAUGCCUUACACAUGCAAGUCGAACGGUAACGGGCCUUCGGGUGCCGACGAGUGGCGAACGGGUGAGUAAUGUAUCGGAACGUACCUUUCAGUGGGGGAUAACGUAGCGAAAGUUACGCUAAUACCGCAUAUUCUGUGCGCAGGAAAGCAGGGGAUCGCAAGACCUUGCGCUGAUUGAGCGGCCGAUAUCAGAUUAGCUAGUUGGUGAGGUAAAGGCUCACCAAGGCGACGAUCUGUAGCGGGUCUGAGAGGAUGAUCCGCCACACUGGAACUGAGACACGGUCCAGACUCCUACGGGAGGCAGCAGUGGGGAAUUUUGGACAAUGGGGGCAACCCUGAUCCAGCCAUGCCGCGUGAGUGAAGAAGGCCUUCGGGUUGUAAAGCUCUUUCGGCCGGGAAGAAAUCGCAUGGGCUAAUACCCUGUGCGGAUGACGGUACCGGCAUAAGAAGCACCGGCUAACUACGUGCCAGCCGCCGCCGUAAAAC
rnacentral:rRNA from 1 species